AAAAUACUCUCAUAAGAAUAAAAUUAAACCAUAAUCAUAAACUCCAAUAUUCUCAAAUUCCUCAAUAUAAUCACAUUCCAUACUUAACCUCAAAUAAUCUUAAUUUAAAUCAUAAAUUAUCAAAAUACUCAUAAUUCUUGAAAUUACGAAAUUACCCUCAAAUAUCAAAAUUACCAAAAUGCCCUUGAAUUCAAUAUUACCAAAAUACCCUCAAAUAUCAAAAUUACUAAAUUAACCUCAAAAUCAUAAAUUACCAACUUUAUCCUCAAUUUCAGCAAUUAUUAAAAUACCCACAAAAUCUGAAAUUACAAAAUU
rnacentral:lncRNA from 1 species